UAUAAUCUAGCAAAGCUUGUUGAAUUUAUAAUUUACUGAUGGUGCUAAAAACAUUAUAUUGUUAAGUAAAGGUGAUUAAAAUUUAAUAUAGGAUGUUGAUGCUUAAGUACUGAGAAGGAAUAAAGAUUAAAUAAAUAGAAAGAAGAGAGUUAUUCUCGUACCUUUUGUAUCAUGGUUUAGCUAGAGUUAUAUUUUGGACUAAAAUAUCUCGAAAUCUAAUGGGCUAUCCUAGGCUGCUAUUAUAGUAGUAAAGAAGUAGUUGUGGCAAAAACUUUUCUAAAGCCUAGGAUAGAAAUGAAAUUUCAUCCGUAUUAGAUGAUAGCUAGUUCUUUCGGAAAAGCAUAGAAGUGCUUAAAACUGAAGUUUUUAAAUUAAAACAAACCAGAUAAACUAAAAACCCAGUUUUAACAAAUUCUAGAGGAUGAGCUCUAAAAUUAAGUUAAAAUCUUAUAAAAAUUUUUUAUUAAAUUUAAGCUUGAAAAUAGCUUCAAUAUUAAGAUUUUGUUAUAAUUUCAUUCUAAUUUAGUAAACAAAAUUAAUCUAUUUUUAUGUACGAAAGUUAUAUCAAAAAUAAAAGCGAUUUAAAUUAAUGCUAAAAUGAGUAUUUCAGGCUAUUUAUAAUUAACCUAAUUUAAAUUAAAUUAAUUAGGCGACAUAAUAUUAUUUUGGCAACAAAACCACAUAAAGGAACUCGGCAAAGUUAUGUUCCGCCUGUUUAUCAAAAACAUGGCUCCUUGGAAUUUUAUUUAUAAGGAGUCGGACCUGCCCAGUGAUUGAUUUUUCAACGGCCGCGGUACUCUGACCGUGCAAAGGUAGCAUAAUCAUUUGCCCUAUAAUUGAGGGCUAGUAUGAAUGGUUUGACGUGAACAAGACUGUCUCUAUGUGGUUUACUAAAACUUGAUUUUUAGGUGAAGAAACCUAGAUUUCAUUGAUAGACAAGAAGACCCUAUUGAGCUUUAAAAAAAUAGAUUGAGAAUAAUAUAUAACUUUAAAUAUUAAUCUACCUAAAAUUUUGGUUGGGGCGACUGUGGAACAAACAAAGCUUCUUUAUAUCUAAAAGACUUACAGGUUUUGAUCCAGAAAUUUUGAUUAAUGAAAUUAGUUACCAUAGGGAUAACAGCAUAAUUCUCUUCAAGAGUUCUUAUCGAAAAGAGAGUUUGUGACCUCGAUGUUGGACUAGAAUAUCCUGAAGAUGCAGCAGUCUUCAAGGGUUGGUCUGUUCGACCAUUAAAAUUCUACAUGAUCUGAGUUCAGACCGGCGUGAGCCAGGUCAGUUUCUAUCUUCAAUUAUUAGUAUUUGAGUUUAGUACGAAAGGACCAAUUCAAAGUAAGAUUUAUUUAAGAAGAUGCAGUAUAAUCUAGAAAUAAAUAAUUUAAUAUUUACAUAC
rnacentral:rRNA from 1 species